rnacentral:lncRNA from 1 species
GGAUCCCUGACCCACUGAGUGAGGCUGGAGAUUGAACCUGCUGAGCCACAAUGGGAGCUCUUGGUAUUUUUUUAUUUUUUAAUUAAAAAAAAUUUUAAGAUUGUUAUCCCCUCUCCACCCUCCUUUUUUUGGCUGCACCCUUGGCAUGCAGACAUUCCCAGGUCAGGGAUUGAACCCACACCACAGCAGCAACACUAGGUGCUUAACCCACUGAGCCACAUGGGAACUCCUAUAGAUGGUUUUUAUUAUAUCAACUUACAAAUAAUGAAAAUGAAGCUCAGAGGUUAUAUUAAUUUCCCAAACUUCUGAAGCUGGCAAGAUACACAGGUAAUUGUGUCUUUUUAAGAUGUUAAAAAGAUUGUGUUCCAUGCUGUGCAAUAUUAUGCAGCUGUUUAAAAUAAUAUUUAUAAAGAGCUUUGAUAUAAACUUAAGUAAAAAAAAGAAUGUGAAAUAGUUAUGAUUUAAAAUAUGUUAGUAAAAAUGCAAAGGAAAAGUACCAGGAGGGAUUUAUUACCCAUUAUUAACAGAGUUAUUCUGAGUGAUGGGGUUUGAGUGAUUGCUUUCUGGUCUUUGAUGAUCUUCCUAUACGUCUCAAUUUUUUUUUUUCUGCAAGCUUGCAUUAUUUGUACAGGGGAGAAACGUUUAAAAUGUCAACUAGAUGUGGCUGUGCCUUUUCCUUCUUUUUUCGUCUAAAAGCAGUCUGGAGGUUAUAGUAAAGAGUCGUGCUGCCACCCGUGAGGGAGAUGUGUGGGUUGCUGAAUCCAUAUUCUUAACCAUUACUGAGCUAACUAACCAAGGCUCAUGCCCUAAGGAUGGUAGAUUGUCCAGGAUGUGGAGUUAGUUCCUUGUUCACCCUUGCCAACCAUUAAAGGUUGUACGUCUAUACUUUCUGUGUAUGUGUGUGUCUGCAGCUAUGGUCUGUGUGUACAUAGAGAUAGAUUAUCUAUAGAUAAUAUAUAUCAUAACAUACAAUGUGCAUAGUGUAUACACAUAUACAUACUGUAUAUAUACUAUGUAUGUAUAUUGUCAUUUUUGGUAACUUGUUGAGUGCUUAAUAUGUAUCAGGCAAUGCACUAAACUCUCUUUGAAAUCACCAGUGCCACUGUCUGACCUCACUGACUUUUCAAAAUCUUUUUAAAGUCUCUUUCUUUGUUCUUUUUUCUUUCCUUCCUUCCUCCCUCUGUCUUUGUUUCUUUCUUUCUUUCUCCUGUCUGCCUGCCUUUCAUUCAACCAGUAAAAUUCUCUCAUACCAAAACUUCUACUCACAAAUUGUAUCACUGGGCUAAGACAUGACUUGAGAAAAUUCUGUCAGAUAAAGGGCUCUUUAAAGGAAAAAAAAAAAAAAACAAACCACUGACUAAAAUAAGAAUUAGAAGAGAAAUGUCCUGUGAACGUGAUCUGUCGGAUUUCAGCACCAUCACAAAAAUAUAUUAUUUAAGUAGGAUCCCUUUUUUUCCCCUGCUUUUCCCCAGUAAAAUUAUCAUAGCCUUUCACGGAGCACUUCAGAGGCCGUUAACUUCUCCCUCAUUUACACACAGCUUCUCUCUCAUUCCGUCGUAUUUUGCAUCACUUAACCCAGUGGAGUGUUUUCAGACAAAGGCUGUCUCAAAGCUGGGGCCCACUUUGUGACUCUGUGGCAUUCAUGGUCAGUAUUGUUUUUGAGGACCAUCUGCCUGUCAUUUGUUUGCUGAUUGAGUUAGUGCACCUAAUAAUAUUUUUUUUAUUGGGCUGUGCUAGCCAAUGAAAAGGAAAUUAUACACUCAACAGAUGGGUCACAAACCUUUCUGCCUUAGUGCAGCUCCUCCUUGAGUUAGUUAAAAGCCGUCAUGAAAGCAGAUUAUAAAUGGAAUAAUAGCCUUUUUAGAAAUGGUUUUCGCCGUGGAUACUAGUUGUGGUGCCAAGCAUAAUGGCAUUAGGGUGUCCCCUCUUUGUUGGACGGAUUCUCCCCGUAAGAACCGUCUGAGCAAGAGGGAUGCGGAAGCAAUGAGAAGAAACCAGCUGGGCAUCAUGAGGACCAGAGUCAGGAGACCAUAUAUGUAGGAGUAGCUGGCAUCACAUUAGCUCCACGUCACUUGUGUGAUUGGGAGACGAAAUGCAGCGUGUGCCCCAAGAAGGGCUGGGUGGUCCCCCUCUACCUUUAUCUGGAGGGCUGAGAAGGCAGAGGCAGCAAAAUCUAUCACAAAAGAAACCCCAAAUAGCCUUACUUUAUGCAGGUAGAAAAAUGGAGAAACUGAGGGUCCUGGCCAUCAUGGAAAUGAACAGCAAACCCAGACAAAUCUCCUUGGCUUGACAAUGGUCCCCUCAGACAUUUGCUCCCUCCUAAAACCCAUAACUUCCUGUCCUUUGAAACUGUUCCUCAGGACCCUAUGUCAAGAAAAUUCACUUUGUCUUAAAGAGGACAUGACUUCCAUGGCCAGGAUGCUAAGUCAACUGAAGGCAGGUUCAAAGAGCAUGAGAACAAAUCUCCUCUGGAAAAAUCCUGAUGCAAAGGAUUAUUCUAUUUGCCUCUAAACAAUGAAGUUGCAUCUCCCACUGGGAACAUAAACUACAGAGACAGACUUUUCAGUGUUGCAGGGGUAGACUUCAUCCUUGAACUCCUAUAAUACGUGAGACGGUAGGUAUUAUAAAGACUUGGCUUAUUCUCCAGUAGAAACAAAAAGAUUCUGCUUUCACGAGUCAAAAAUACAAAACAAACAAACAAAAACUGGACAGCACAGUAACUGCUUUGUGAAUCAUGCUUCUAACUGUGUAUAUGAAUUAUCAGCUCAUUAUUUUUCCCCCUAUGGUCUUUGGCCCUUGCCUCAUCUAACUUCAAACCUCCAGUGAAUUCUCAGCAGUAUACUUGCUUUGAUUUUGGUAUAAGGACGCCAUAUGCAUUGCCGAGGGUGGUGGGCUGGAAGCAAUUGCAGUGCACAUAUGGAUGGGGGGAGAUUUGGGGCAGAUGGGCUCACUGGGCCCAUGAACAGGAAGAAGGAAGACCAGGUGUUGCUAAGAACCUUCCAUCAUUCAAAAUCAAUGGGCUUUUACAUUUUUCCAAUGGAUGAACAUCAACCCAAUAUUUUGAUACUACUCCCUAUGUCUAGCAUUCUGAAGCUGUAAGUGAUUUUCCAGAGCUUGUCUGGUACUGAAGCUUUUCAGAGAUUUUCUUUCUUCCUUGAGGGAUGCUGAGGAAUUCUGGGAAGAGAGCCCUGCGAUGGGCAACCUGGGAGGUGGAGAAGGAGUGAGUGGUGAGGGUCGGUUUCCUGUGAUUCUCAGCCAUUCUCAUUCUCUGCAUCAGAGAGGUCCCAGUGUAAGCCGAUGCUUUCCUGGAUGCACUGUCACUGGAAGAGGUACAGCCCCUGACAUUAACCCCAGGAGGGUCCCUCCUGCCUUCUGUAUAUUGUCCUGCAACCCACAGGUGCUUGAAUUCUCAUACCGGAGGUUGGUCCUCUAGUCAGUUUUGUCUUGUGUUGAAAUGCAUUGUUCUGGGAGUUCUUUCACCUGUAACCUCUUCACUCCUUUGUGCUUAGAUGUGAAUGACUUUGAGACAUGCUUUUGAAUUUUAUGAGGGGCAGGUACGACUUCAGGAGAGCCUGGAAGCUUAAGAAAAUGGGAGCUAGCCCUAGGAAGGGGAGUGAGCAAUGGCCUAGGAAUGAGAGGAUGCUGACCGAGCAGCCAACUUUAAAGAUGUUCUCCCCUUCUCCUCAGGACCUAAAAGGGACUUUAAAUCCAGUUCGUCUUUGGGACCCAUUGGCAGGUUAGUCCAAAGGAACAUUUCGACUAUGAUUACUUAAAAUCCCCAAGGCUUUCUGGAUGCAGUUAGGACUUUCUUCUUUCUUCUUUCCUCUGACGUCUUUACACUGGCAGGGACUCAGGGACAGAGGUGUCCAGAAAGACAACCAAACAUGGCAAAUGCCCCACCCUUUCUGGUUUCUCCCCCACAUGCCCCAUGGGCAGCAGGAUCCCGCCUGCUGCCUCCCCUCAGAGAUGCUCAGCAGGACCCCACUGUGCGCCACUGCAUCACAAGUCGGGAACCUGCUUCCCUCUCCAUCUCCCUCCCAGCUCUCCUUUUCAGCUGGAUGUUGCAAGGAUUUAAUUCUGAGCAGGAUUUAAAUAAAAUCAGAAUCCGUCUGUGCCGGAGGAGAUGUGCUUGCUCGGAAAUGGAAUUCGUCAUCUGGGUCAUUUGCUCGUUAGCUCCACAUCCUGCCAGUGCUGGGACCCAAGGAAAAGACACGCUAACCCUAUUUCGUACCAUUCCUGCACUUUCCAGGGUGAGACGCCGGGGAACUGUCUCAGCUCCUCUCUCCUCCCCAAAUUCGAUUCCUGACUUCAGUGCUUUUUGAUCUUGAAACAUCUCCACACUUUAGGGGGAAAAGUGUUUCAAGCUUACAUAAAAAUUAACAAUGGCCCCUGUUUUAGGCAGGGCAUUUUUGCUUGUAAGGAACCAUGUUCCACAUACAAAAGCUUAAGGAAAGGGAGGAUUUAUUAAAAGGAUCUCAGGGAAUGUUCCCGAUGCCACAGCAGGGCUCAGGAGAGGUGGAGACCAUCAGGCAGCCUGUCGUCUUCUGCCUCUCUCUGCCACGUCAGUUCUCCUUUCAUCUCUGCAAACCUUCCCCUUGCCGUCUCAUACUCUUCUUUCCCAUGAUUUACGGUAUGCAUUACCUUGGCUUUUUUUUUUUUUUAAACCCACACAUUCUGACGCACCCUGACUCUGUCCUUGACUCAGCUUAGUGUCUGGUUUCUGUCAGGUACUUAGUACCUACCUUUGGACUAAGUGAAGAAAUGAACAAAGGAAGGAGUGACUCUGCUGGGCCUUUCAGUGUAAAGGCCCAUCAUUGCCUAACUAGGUUUUGAGUGGCACAGUUCAGAAUCCGACCAGAGAGGAUCUGAGGUGUUCCGUUUGUCACAUAAGAUAGGGGUUCACUCCUGGUCCAAUUAUCUAUGGCCAAGAAGCAUGAUUACUUAGUACAAACAUGACUGCUCGCCGGGACCAUGGAUGAAACCAUUUCCCAAAAAAGGACGGCAGGUUCUGCAAAUGUGUUUCCUGGAGCCACCAAACCAGCAUUCUUUCCUGAAAACUGUGCCCAGUGGUGUCUGUGUUUACUCAAAACGUGGCAGUCUCUUGGAGUUCCCGUCGUGGGGCAGUGGAAACGAAUCUAACUAGGAACCAUGAAGUUCGAUCUCUGGCCUUGCUCAGUGGGUUAAGCAUCUGGCAUUGCUGUGAGCUGUGGUGGAGGUUGCAGACACAGCUCGGAUCUGGCGGUGCUGUGGUUGUGGCGUGGGCUGGCAGCUGUAGUUCCAAUUCAACCCCUAGCCUGGAAACCUCCAUAUGCCACGAGUAUGGCCCUAAAAAGCAAAAAAAAAAAAAAA